CAACUACUCCCUUUGUCCCAAAUUUCUUGUCUUAGAUUUGUCUAGAUACGGAUGUAUCUAAUACUAAAAUGUGACUUGAUACAUCCGUAUCUAGAAAAAUCUAAGACAAGAAUUUUGGGACGGAGGGAGUACUUU
rnacentral:pre_miRNA from 1 species